rfam:Myotis brandtii contig324660, whole genome shotgun sequence.
GGCAGUUCCCAUGUGACGAACCCCAGAAUCAAGCUCCCUCCUCUCUGGUUCUGGGGUGCGUCACCCAAGAACCACU